GACGAACGCUGGCGGCGUGGAUUAGGCAUGCAAGUCGAACGGUAUCAUCCUUUCGGGGGUGAGAGAGUGGCGAACUGGUGAGUAACACGUAGGUUAUCUACCCUCAAGACGGGGACAACCCAGGGAAACUUGGGCUAAUACCGGAUGUGAGCAACUUUUAGUUGUUUGAAAGGUGGCGUAAGCUGUCGCUUGGGGAUGAGCCUGCGUCCUAUUAGUUAGUUGGUGAGGUAACGGCUCACCUAGGCAAUGAUAGGUAGGCGGCCUUAACGGGUGGUCGCCCACACUGGGAUUGAGAUACGGCCCAGACUCCUACGGGAGGCAGCAGUCGAGAAUAGUCUACAAUGGUCGGAAGACUGAUAGUGCGACGCCGCGUGAACGAUGAAUCCCUUCGGGGUGUAAAGUUCUUUUAUAUGUGAGCAGUGCUUCUUAUAUUAACAGUACGGGGAGAGAGAUAUUAGCAUAUGAAUAAGCAACGGCUAACUCCGUGCCAGCAGCCGCGGUAAACUCGUU
rnacentral:rRNA from 1 species